rnacentral:tRNA from 1 species
GUGGCUUUAGUUUAAUAAAAACGUUUGCUUUGCAAGCAGAAAUUCUAAGUUGAAGUCUUGGAAGCUACA